CUCUCUCUCUCUCUCUCUCUAAAUCUUUUUUAAGCUAAAACUUCUGCCCAUUUGAUGGCUCUUACCUCUUAGAUUACGAAUGACUUCAAUACUUAAACCAUUACUUUUAAUUUGCAUUAACUGCUGCCCAAAUACUCUUCCAAUGUGUUUUCAGCUUCACCAUAUGUUUCCUACUUUACUAUAAUUGGUUGUUGCUUGGGCAAAUAAUAGGAGGAGGAAGUUUGAGAGGAAAGAGUAAUGGAUUACAGGAGAGCAGUAGGGAAGAUAGAGGAUUCAAGAGAGACGGAAUAUU
rnacentral:misc_RNA from 1 species